CUUAAACCACUCAAGUGUUGCUUUAGCAGUGUGUUUGAGGUCAUUGUCCUGCUGGAAGGUGAACCUCCGUUCUUGCCUCCAAUCAAGCACAGAGUGGUACAGGUUUUGCUCAAGAAUAUCCCUGUACUUAGCACCAUCCAUAUCCCUCAACUCUAACCAGUUUCCCAGUCCCGGCUGCUGAAAAACAUCCCCACAGCAUGAUGCUGUUGCCACCACCAUGUUUCACUGUGGGGAUGGUGUUCUCUGGGUAAUGUGAUGUGUUGGGUUUGCACCAGACAUAGCGUUUUCUUUGAUGGCCGAAAAGUUCAAUUUUAGUCUCAUCAGACCAGAGCACCUUGCUCCAUACAUGCUGAAAGUAAUGGCUUUCUUCUGGCCACUCUGCCAUAAAGCCCAACUCUAUGGAGCAUAUGGC